UGCAACCUAAUUCUCACACAGUAUCGUGGUAUAUAACUAUAAAACAAUUAAAUGAUUAAAUUAAAAUGCUAAUAUUUAUGUUUAAUAUGUUUUAAUAUAAAACAUGUGCUUUGGCAGAAACCAUAAAGAAUUUUUUUGCACAACAAAAAACACUAACGUUAGUUUCAUUAAGGGGGCACAUAGCAAGGAAGUGACGCUGAGGUUGAAAUAUGUUCAUGUUAAGCAGAGAGGUAUUUAGCAUGCCGCUGUGUUCUUCGGAGUUAUUUUUAAUUUAGACUAGUAAAAGUGGGUUGUUUAGGUCAUACUUUCUGGUGAUAGCGGUUUUAAGGAAACAAACAAACAAAAAGCAACGAAUGAAACAUUUUUUCAUAUUUCACAAUAGCUAUUAAAACUGUAGAUAGCCAAUGCGGGGCAGGCCGGUUCCAUGGUGUAAUGGUUAGCACUCUGGACUCUGAAUCCAGCGAUCCGAGUUCAAAUCUCGGUGGAACCUGAAUUUUGUAUUUUAUGGGUAAUAAUAUAAUUUAGAACCUACAUUUCAUGAUAAUAGUUAACAGGAGCAUAAAAAGGUCUGUUCUGAAUUAUGACUCUUCUGAAAAGGGCAAUAAUUAGCUCAAACACUGUGAUAAAUCCGUAUAACGCGUUUUUUCUUUUUCUUUUUUUUUCUUUUUUCUUUUCUUUUUUUUUUUUUUUUUUUACAAAAGAUUACAAGAUUAAAAGGAUAAAAAGGUGUAAAUAUGAUUUAGUCUAAAGUAAAACAGCAUUCUUCUAAGCAUAUCAUAAACAGGGUUUAUGAUAAAUUUAAACAUUACCUAAGGCCACUAGGGUGCAGUAUUGUGCGUAUCUUGAGUUCCACAGAAACACCAAAAUGGUUGAAAUGUACUGAACACGUGAUUGUGUAGAUAGACGUAAACAAGAAGUUGCACCUUCAUUACGUAGUUGAAAGCCAAAAAUGCGUUGCGGUGGGGAUGGGAAGUCCCCAUGAUUCACACGGACUGAAAAUAAAAUUUUGUAUGAACAAUAAGACAGAUAUUUCAGAUUUGAAAUGACUGCAGAUUCAUCUCAUAUUUACCAUAUUUACAUGUAUAUAGAUAUUUUAGUCACAUUGAGUGGAUAGUUUGAAAAUGACAAAACAUUUUAAACACAGUCCGAACCUUUUGAUGCCACCAAAGAAUUUUACAGUUUUUGCAUCAAAAGCUCUCACAACUCAUCUCACAGAACUUCAUCUAGAAAUCCAUGCUGAAUCUCUAUGAUGCUUUACAGCAAACUGUAGGACUGGACUGUAUUCAGAGCUGUAUUUUUGAUGUAUACUGUAAGUCUGCCAGUAAUGUACUCUUAUUGUUGAUGACUCAUCUUUGAAAAGAAACAUCUGUUGGACAGUUGGGGGGGUUUCCUUCACUGCGAAACGUGUUCUCAACCAGUGGGCAAUGCCUUUCAUUUGUGGCACUAUUAAAUAUUCAAAUAUUUAAGGUGUUUUCCUAUUCCUAGGUAUUAGCUGGAUAUCUUUUAUGAUGUAUGAUGCACUUUUUUGGACUUCAAAAUCAGGAGCCCCAUUCACUACCAUUAUAAAUCUUGGAAGAGUCAGGAUAUUUUUUUAAUAUA